AGUCACGUACGGCUUCAUACGAGGUCACGUCCAGAGUCACUGAACGAGUCACGUACGGCUUCAUACGAGGUCACGUCCAGAGUCACUGAACGAGUCACGUACGGCUUCAUACGAGGUCACGUCCAGAGUCACUGAACGAGUCACGUACGGCUUCAUACGAGGUCACGUCCAGAGUCACUGAACGAGUCACGUACGGCUUCAUACGAGGUCACGUCCAGAGUCACUGAACGAGUCACGUACGGCUUCAUACGAGGUCACGUCCAGAGUCACUGAACGAGUCACGUACGGCUUCAUACGAGGUCACGUCCAGAGUCACUGAACGAGUCACGUACGGCUUCAUACGAGGUCACGUCCAGAGUCACUGAACGAGUCACGUACGGCUUCAUACGAGGUCACGUCCAGAGUCACUGAACGAGUCACGUACGGCAUCAUACGAGGUCACGUCCAGAGUCACUGAAGGAUUCAAUGACCAAAAGGAGUAUCCUAUCGUGACAUCUACAGCAGUGGUUCCCAACCUUUUUCGGUUACUGUUCCACCAACUAAAUGUUGCUCUGCCCAGAGUACCCCUGAUUUACCACGUCAUUUGCAUUUUUACCAGUAGUCCUAUGGUCUCAUGAGUCUUCUCAAGUACCCCCUGUGGAAAGACCCAGUAUCCCCUGUGGAUAGACCCAGUAACCCCUGUGGAUAGACCCAGUAACCGUUUAGAUAGACCCAGUACUCCCUGUGGAUAGACCCAGUACCCCUGUGGAUAGACCCAGUACCCCCUGUGGAUAGAC